CACUGUGAGCCACCAGGGUCCCAAGCCCUCCUUCUUUCAGGUUGAUCUUGCUUUCUUGUUAUUACUCAAGGUGAACUAUGCAGCGAAUGCAUGCAGAACCCAGAGGCCAGAAGAGGGAAUUGGAACCCCUGGAACUAUGUUGCUUCAGGUGCUGGGAAUCAAACUCUGGUCCUAGGCAAGAGCCGCAGCACCCGCCCCUGGCUGUAGGCAAUGUGGCAUUUUGGAACAUACCCGGAGCUAGGCGGUCCUGGUCUUCAUGUUCAUUCAGCCCAUCCACCUGGCUUUUGACGCACUGAAACAGACAGAGGUGGCAGAAGAGUAACAUUUGCAUGAAGACUAACCAUACAAGAGAAAGUAGGCCGGUUUUGACUGGAGAGUGUGUCGUUUCAGUGCCAAACAUCCAAAGCAAAAAAGUUAAAGCAAGGUUUUCCAGUCCACUUCACCGAUGAUGCAUAGAGCUGUAAAUCGCCUGCUGUGGUGUUUGCCACGUGGGUGGUGCUGAGGAUUCCCUUUGGAAACUCAAACCUACAUUAAUAAGACUUCAAGCAGAGACAACAGCUACAGCAUGCCACAGAAAGAGGAGAGUAAUGGAGCCAAAGGUCCCAGAAGCACAUCUGCACAAGACAGGAAGAGGACCGUGCAACUCCAUCCUGCUGGAUGCACCAUGCCCUUAAAUCCACUCCAGGCCACUGUAUCUCUAAAGCGCCCCAUACAUGCAGGGAUUUAUUCUGAAGAGCACCCUGGAAAACAGGAUGUGGCCUGUAAUCAUCUGCAAUAUCAACGGGCUCAUUCAGCUUUCUCCCUCAGCCCUACCCCCUAAAAAGACUGACCCAUGA